GGGAAUGCGGCUCAGUUAGUAGAGUGCUUGCCUGACAUGCAUGAGGGAAACCCUGGGUUUGAUCCCUAGAAUUGCCU
rnacentral:tRNA from 1 species